rnacentral:rRNA from 1 species
CGUUCCUACGGGAGGCAGCAGUGGGGAAUAUUGCACAAUGGGGGAAACCCUGAUGCAGCAACGCCGCGUGAGGGAUGAAGGUCUUCGGAUCGUAAACCUCUGUCAGCAGGGAAGAACGGUCACUGUGCUAAUCAGCAGUGAAUUGACGGUACCUGCAAAGGAAGCACCGGCUAACUACGUGCCAGCAGCCGCGGUAAUACGUAGGUGGCGAGCGUUGUCCGGAAUUACUGGGUGUAAAAGGAGCGUAGGCGG